rnacentral:rRNA from 1 species
AACGAACGCUGGCGGCAUGCCUGACACAUGCAAGUCGAACGAGUAUGGUCUAGCUUGCUAGAACCCAGCUAGUGGCAAACGGGUGAGUAACGCGUGGGAACCUUCCUAAUAGUAUGGAAUAACCACUGGAAACGGUGAUUAAUACCAUAUACGCCCUGAGGGGGAAAGAUUUAUCGCUAUUAGACGGGCCCACGUUGGAUUAGCUAGUUGGUAGGGUAACGGCCUACCAAGGCUAUAAUCUAUAGCUGAUUUGAGAGGAUGACCAGCCACACUGGAACUGAGACACGGUCCAGACUCCUACGGGAGGCAGCAGUGGGGAAUAUUGGACAAUGGGCGAAAGCCUGAUCCAGCAAUGCCGCGUGAGUGAAGAAGGCUUUAGGGUUGUAAAGCCCUUUCAGUAGGGAAGAUAAUGACGGUACCUACAGAAGAAGCACCGGCUAACUCCGUGCCAGCCGCCGCCGUAA